UUCCGACUUCAGAAUGAAACUAGUGCUUUGCACACGUUCGUUCCUCAGUCCCCUUUCUGGAACCCCUCUCCGUUAUGAAAGCAGAGACCCCACCCGAACACGGUGACUUUGGGGCGAUGUUCUUGGGGGUCAGGAAUUCAGAGGUGGAGCGUGGGUACCUAGCACCCCUAGUAGCCAGGGAAGCCCCUCCCCUACUGAGACUCAAGCAGGCGCCAGGCCCCAAACCCUCGCUCCUCUCUGGUAUAAAUCGCACCGUAGGAUUUUCUUUUUCGGUGCGGCGGUGCUUUGCUGGAGUAGCUGCGAGGGGGAGCUGCGCGGGGCAGGACCGGGGGACCAGAGGCUCUCGCUUUGGCGGCGGCCCUGCGGGUGCCAGAGGCUUGCAGAGUGAUCUGAGCGCGCCAAGGGAUUGCUAUUAAGUAAGGUCCUCCACAAGUCUUCAGAAACCUCAGACAUUACAGCGCCCGAGCGGCGGGCGGGCAGCGGCUUCCCAUAUUCUGCCAGACAAUGGGGCGCGGGAAAGAGGGGGACAGCGGCCUGGGGACCCCACUCCCGCAGCACGUGCACCGAGCCCGCAGCACGUGCACUGAGCCCAAGGCGCCGGCUUUACAGAUCGAGUGGCUCCACCCCCAAAACAAAGGCUCCGGGGCCCCAUCUGUGCCGGGCGCGGGGGAGGGCGCCGCACUUGCUGCCCGCCGCGUGCAAAGCGAGCCAGACAAAGGGCUCAGCCCUGCAGACGCGAGUGGUGGGGAAAUAAUUAAGCACUAAGGAAAUAUUGUACGUGGAUUUGAGACCAACAGAAAACGCGCUCCCAAACAAUGCCCGUUGUUUGCACCGGGCUUUUCUGCUAAGUUUCAUCAAGUAAUUUGCAUGCUAUUUCAAUACAAUUAACGAAUUAUGGUCGAGUUUUUUGUUUUACUGACAUAAAUAAAAAUCUUCAUUUCCUUUAUUAUUGAAAUAAUUCGCCCCCAUUUCCCGGGCAGCCUGAACUACGCGCUAAGGAAAUCUGGUCUUCCAGCCAGACCCAGCGGCCUUUCUGCUGCACUCCUUAGCUAACUCCCCGGAAACCCUGCGUUUGUUCUGGCUGCUCCCCUUGACUGUGGCAAUAACUAGAACUUCAACCCUCUCACUUUCUUAACGCCUGCUUUUCUUGCAGUGGGAGCACGAGCAUUUAUGCGUAGGAGGGACUCAAGGCAAUGAUGCAUUUGGAAGGCGCUGGAAGGCUGUUCCACUGUCCUCGUGAUUAGGAAGCUGGCGUCCUCCAGAGGAAGGAUCCAAGCAAGGAAGCAGAAGCCACAGCAUCUUCAUGAUCUAGCUUUACGGGUACACACCAUCACUGCCUCACCCCACCUGCUACGCAUUCGUCCAUAUGCCUGGGGCUGCACAGAGGCAUGAAUGCUGGUAGGCAUGGAUCACGGGGGGCCAACUUGGAGACUGGUUACCACAAGUGAUUAUCAUUAGUAUUAUUUGGUGGGGCCAUUUCGAGUGCCCAGAGGAGAGUAUUAUAUAGCUAAAGGCAUCAUUUCUUGUUUGUCUUUCUAGUCAAUGCAAACGAAAGUGAUCAGUUACCUUUAAUGGUGUUUCCAGACUCCAAACAUGGCCUUCCCAGUGCCAGCUCUCCUUUCAGACUGGGGAACAGAACAGUAGCGGAGAGAGAUAAGGUCCCCUCUCUGCAUCCCUGACUUUCCAGAGUAAGAAAACCAGCUAAACGAGCCAAUGGCUUGGAGAUAGGCAAUGUUAAACCAAUCGCAGCUCGCCCACUGCCAGACCCUCCACUAGCCAGAACUGCAGCCUUGAUUGGACAAGAGACUGAUGCAGUAACCUUCUUCUGAUAAGAGCCCACUCCCCAGGGCCUGGUUCCUCCCGUUUGCAGGGGCUGUGCAGUUGCAUGCCUCCAUGACUCUGCUUCACCUUUCGACGUUUACAGCCUGAUUGUAAUACACCUAAAUGUGAAGUCUCCACCCCCAGGUGAACAUGGGACGCAUGUAACAUGCAUGUUUGCUUAUCACACAUGUGCACAGACUCCUCCCAUGAAUUCCUGGCCAACCCAUUCAGCUUGAAUUCCUGUCUUAUCUCCUCCCACCCUUCCUCAAAGUACCUGCCUGUUGAUUUCUACCGGUGACUACACUUUUUAGCCGGUCAGGGUGGCUGCCUUGCAGGUUGUAAGCCUGUCUGAGAAAUAAAGCCCUCCUUUUCUAAAUGCAUAUAUUGAGUGAUUUUUUUUUUUUUUUUGAGACAGAAUUUCGUUCUUGUUGCUCAGGCUGAAGUGCAGUGGCAUGAUCUUGGCUCAACACAACCUCCACCUCCCGGGUUCAAGCAAUUCUCCUGCCUCAGCCUCCUGAGUAGCUGGGAUUACAGGCACGCACCACCAUGCCCAGCUAAUUUUUGUAUUUUUACUAGAGACAGGGUUUCUCCCUGUUGGUCACGCUGCUCUCAAACUCCUGACCUCAGGUGAUCCACCUGCCUCGGCCUCACAAAGUGCUGAGAUUACAGGCGUGAGCCACCGUGCCCCCUAUAUUGAGUGAUUUUUAAGCCAGCAAACACCAGCCCAGAAUCUCUAAAGGUUGCUGAGAGAGGUGGUAAGAGCCACCUCUGCAAUCCUCCUGAUCAGAAACCUCUAAAGCCUGAUUCUUCAGGAUUGGCCUCCUCGCCUCCCUCAGCUCCUCCGGCCUUCCCUCUGUUCAGUGUGCCUGGCCCAGAUGAACUGGGAGCUCCAGAUCUUCUCAGGGACUUCCCCAAAGCCUCUCUAACACAAGGCAUUGGCACCAUCGACUUUGACUGUCGGGUCUGCAGUGACCAGUGAGUGUUCAGUGUAGCAGCGUGGCUCACCAGGUGCCUGGAAUGGAAUAUUGAGACCGCCUGGUUCUUGAGAGUUACUUGGGCCCAGCCAGGCACUCACCACCUUACAGAGCCUUCUGCUACUCUCUUAUCCAUGGACCAGCCUCCAGCUCACUCUUGCUCUCUUCCUGAUUCCUCUUCCCAUAUCAGGGACAGUAAAACACUCACCCACUGCAGGCCA